rnacentral:rRNA from 1 species
GUGGCGAACGGGUGAGUAACACGUGAGUAACCUGCCCCCCACUUCGGGAUAACCUCGGGAGAUCGUGGCUAAUACCGGAUACGAGCACUCAUCGCAUGGUGAGUGCUGGAAAGAUUUAUCGGUGGGGGAUGGACUCGCGGCCUAUCAGUUUGUUGGUGAGGUGAUGGCUCACCAAGACGAUGACGGGUAGCCGGCCUGAGAGGGCGACCGGCCACACUGGGACUGAGACACGGCCCAGACUCCUACGGGAGGCAGCAGUGGGGAAUAUUGCACAAUGGGCGCAAGCCUGAUGCAGCGACGCCGCGUGAGGGAUGACGGCCUUCGGGUUGUAAACCUCUUUCGCCAGGGACGAAGCGCGAGUGACGGUACCUGGAUAAGAAGCACCGGCUAACUACGUGCCAGCAGCCGCGGUAAUACGUAGGGUGCGAGCGUUGUCCGGAAUUAUUGGGCGUAAAGAGCUCGUAGGCGGUUAGUCGCGUCGGCU